rnacentral:rRNA from 1 species
UACGUAGGGGGCAAGCGUUGUCCGGAAUUAUUGGGCGUAAAGCGCGUGUAGGCGGCUUGGUAAGUCUGGUGUGAAAACUUGGGGCUCAACCCCAAGCCUGCACUGGAUACUGCCUGGCUAGAGUCCGGGAGGGGAGAGCGGAAUUCCCAGGGUAGCGGUGAAAUGCGCAGAUAUUGGGAAGAACACCGGUGGCGAAGGCGGCUCUCUGGAACGGUACUGACGCUGAGACGCGAAAGCGUGGGGAGCGAACAGG